AAAGCACUGGAGCAGGACAGGACAGCGCACAAGUGCACAUUAUCCCUGGACAACUACCAGCAUCUCCUCCAUCUCACAGAUGUGUGGAUGUCUCUAUUCUACAUUCUAAAAACGCAACUUUAUCCGGAAGAAGUUCAUUUAAAUGGAGGUCGGUGCUUUUACCUUCUUACUUCCUGUCGGACGUCUAAACAACUCAAACUUCCAAACCUGAUUCAGGAGCCUUGUGGACUGAAACGGACGGCAGAGAUCUCACCGGACUCUGAGUCUUCACCAAUGACGUGUUGUGAUUGACGCAAGUAUUAAUGUUCC
ensembl:lncRNA